rnacentral:rRNA from 1 species
GAUGAACGCUGGCGGCGUGCCUAAUACAUGCAAGUCGAGCGAACGGACGAGAAGCUUGCUUCUCUGAUGUUAGCGGCGGACGGGUGAGUAACACGUGGAUAACCUACCUAUAAGACUGGGAUAACUUCGGGAAACCGUAGCUAAUACCGGAUAAUAUUUUGAACCGCAUGGUUCAAAAGUGAAAGACGGUCUUGCUGUCACUUAUAGAUGGAUCCGCGCUGCAUUAGCUAGUUGGUAAGGUAACGGCUUACCAAGGCAACGAUGCAUAGCCGACCUGAGAGGGUGAUCGGCCACACUGGAGCUGAGACACGGUCCAGACUCCUACGGGGGGCAGCAGUAGGGAAUCUUCCGCAAUGGGCGAAAGCCUGACGGAGCAACGCCGCGUGAGUGAUGAAGGUCUUCGGAUCGUAAAACUCUGUUAUUAGGGAAGAACAUAUGUGUAAGUAACUGUGCACAUCUUGACGGUACCUAAUCAGAAAGCCACGGCUAACUACGUG